AGGCAACAAGGUUGAAUAUGGGUUCUCUAUUUUUUAAGAAGAAAACAAAUCAAUGGCUGCAACGCUGACAACACAAUAAGAAAUAUGGACAACCCAGCUGGCCAUUCAUCAAUUGAGGUUGUAUUUUCUCAUGUCCAAUUUAUAAGUAAACUGCAAAUGGAAGUUUUUGAACAGAUAAGAGGGAAAUGGGAAAGGAAUCAGGAAGGCUUGUGCUUGGUGCAACUUCAGUAAUAUGUCUAAUCGUUGUCACUUUUCUUUGUGCUGCUUUUUUUGUAUCAGAUGUUGAUCCAUUUGAGACAUGGAAACAACGGUCAUCAAAUUGGAGAUCAGUUAGUGCUACUGCUAAUGGAGUCAAACAAGAAGAGCCCAUAGAAUUUCUUCUAAGAAGACUAGUGAGAGGUGAAGAUAGAAUCAAGCUUGAAGCAACUGGUUUUUCUUGCCAUUCUGACCAUCACACAGAGUUAUGUGUUGCAAAGAAACCGGUUAGGAUCGACAAUAAUGCAUUAUCAGUUUACAUACCAGGCUCUCAGGCUAAAGUUAAAGGAAUGAUUAAACCUUAUGCAAGGAGAGAGGAUCAAACUGCCAUGGAAAGAGUCACAACAGUUCACAUACUACCUGGAAACUCUACCAACCUACCACCUUGUAAUUUCACUCACGAUGUCCCUGCAGUGAUCUUCUCCUCUGGCGGCUUCACAGGAAACCUAUUCCAUGAGAUAAAUGAGAUCACCAUCCCUCUCUUCCUGACGUG
rnacentral:misc_RNA from 1 species